GAUGAACGCUGGCGGCGUGCCUAAUACAUGCAAGUCGAGCGAACGGACGAGAAGCUUGCUUCUCUGAUGUUAGCGGCGGACGGGUGAGUAACACGUGGAUAACCUACCUAUAAGACUGGGAUAACUUCGGGAAACCGGAGCUAAUACCGGAUAAUAUUUUGAACCUCAUGGUUCAAAAGUGAAAGACGGUCUUGCUGUCACUUAUAGAUGGAUCCGCGCUGCAUUAGCUAGUUGGUAAGGUAACGGCUUACCAAGGCAACGAUGCAUAGCCGACCUGAGAGGGUGAUCGGCCACACUGGAACUGAGACACGGUCCAGACUCCUACGGGAGGCAGCAGUAGGGAAUCUUUCGCAAUGGGCGAAAGCCUGACGGAGCAACGCCGCGUGAGUGAUGAAGGUCUUCGGAUCGUAAAACUCUGUUAUUAGGGAAGAACAUAUGUGUAAGUAACUGUGCACAUCUUGACGGUACCUAAUCAGAAAGCCACGGCUAACUACGUG
rnacentral:rRNA from 1 species